CUUUCGAGGGGCAGACACGUCUUGAGAUAAGGCCAACGGCCGGCCGGGCCGCAGUGACUCAGCUGCGGCGGCUGCAAGGAAGCUCUGCGGGCCCCGAGGAACGGGACACAGGAGGCGGGGCCCAACCCGGGACGCCCCGCCCAGCCCCAGGGCUCCGGGAAGUUCCGGCCCACCACCCCCAGCUUCCCAGAGGCGCCCGGAUUUCCCACGGGUUUCCCCAUCUGCUGCAAAUAGUAACAAAGGCUGGCACUUUCAGAGCGCUCACUAAGUGUUAGGCACUUUGCUGGCAUCGUGUCUUGUUACCUCCAUCAGGGCUCUGAAGCAGGCGCCACUAUUACCUCCAUUAAGAGACAUGGAAUCUGAGGUUAAGAGAUGCCCAGCGACUUGCUCAAGGUCACACAGCUACUGAAUGGUCCUCUGCAAAAUGAGUGUAUUUUAACAUCAACUAACCUUCCUGUGAGGGUAGUUGGUAGCAACAAUGAGUGACCACCGUGGGUAAAGUCUUCCCAAGCACAAUUGUGUGAUGGCGCUCAGCGGGCAGCCCAGCUCUACAGGCAAACGUCAUUCUUCGUGAUUCUGUUUGAGGAGGACUGACCCGUGUAACCGACAGGAUAUUGCAGAAAUGAUAGUGUGAUUUCUGAGACUACUUUAUAAAGGACACUGCAGCUUCUGCACUUGCUCCAGGCUAGUGGAAGCCAGCUGCCAUGUUGUAAGCACACUCAAGCAACCUAUGGAGGAUUAUAGGUGGUGAGGAACUGAGGCUUCCUGCCAUCAGCCAGAACCAAUGUUGCAGUGCCAUUCAAGCCAUCAAGUGACCACAGCUCCAUUCUGACAUCCUGACUGCAACCUUAUGAGAGAGCUUAAGCCAGAAUCACCUAGCAAAAUUACUCCUGAAUUCCUGACACACAGAAAGUGUGAGUUAGCUGUCUCUGCUACACACUCAAAAGGAAAUGAACCUUCUGCCACAAUUGUCUUGUAAGACUGCAGCCCAAGUACUACAGGCCGACCAACCUUCCUGCCUUCUAUGUCCUGGAGAAGACCCUGAGGAGGACAGGUCAGUGCUAAUGCAGAUUUAUGACCGCCAAAGCCACCAGGGCCCCUGUAUUGCUAGGCCUAGGUCAGAUUCUCUGGUAUUUCCCGUAACGGGUGUUCCAAGCAUCCUCUCCUUGCCCUUAGCCCCUUCCCCACCCUCAUUCUCAGCAGGUGAGAAUUUUAGGGCCGAAGGGCAUGAUGCCCCUCCGCUUCUUCCCCUGCCCUCUCCUCCCCAACCACACUCAUGUAGAUUUGUCUGUGCCCACAUUCCCUCCAGCUUCACAGCCUGAACUGCUCCCUAGAUUUCACACCUGUGUGUCCAUCUGCCUCAGAAUGCCUCCACCUGCAUGUGCAUAGGUCCUUCAUACUCACCAUGUCUCAAACUGAACUCACCAUUGUCCAGCCCAUCCCCCUCCCCCAAACCUGCUUCUCCUCCUGGGGUUUCUUUCUCCUGUGAUGGCGACACCCUAACCACAUGGUUGUCCUUGCUUAAAAUCUGACGGUCAUCAUUGUCUCGUUUCUCAGGUUAAAUCCUGGCCAAAACAUUUCUUGAAUCAGUUCCCUCCACUUGUUUUACUAAGUUCAGGUCAUCACUUCCUGCUCAGAUGCCUGUAGCCACCUCCUAACACGUCUUUAUGCCUCUAGUCUGUUCCCCUCCAACCACUCUUCACGGGCAGCCAGAGUGACAGUUCUACGGUACAAAACUGACCACAGCACUCAGUUUCUUGAGUGAAGUAUGGACUUUCUCCUGAGGCCCCCGAGUCCCCACAUGACUGGCCCCACUGCAGCCAGCCCCUUACUUUCCAUGGCACUCCAGCAACACUAGACUUUCCUCUGGCCAUGCCCUGAGGAUCCUUGAUGCCACACGGGGGUCAUGGGUGAGUGCUGCUAGAAUAUCCUUUGUGUUCCUCUCUCUGUUCUUAUCACACUCCUUGGUAAAGCUCUUUUUGUACGUCUGCUUCCCAACCCUGCAAGGGCAGGAGCUAACUCUUUGUCUCAUGAUUUCAGUGUCUGGGACAGUGCUCAUCAUACAGUAGGUGCUCAGUGAAUGAAUGAAGAUGGUGGAAAGGAACCCGUUGAAAGUAUUUCUCAGCUCUAAAGAUGGAAGUGAAGCUGUAACACCUUAAUAGUAAUGCAAAUAAUUCCUGUUCACAGUUACACAGAUUGUGUCUAGUGGAAGGCAACUGACUAUUGCUGUGUGGAUUCUGACCAAUUUUGCAUCCAUUUCUGAAAUGAUUUCAGCAUUCCUUAUCUGACUAUCAUGUGUGAUAGUUUUGAGUUCUCCUUUGAAUUGGUUGUAACGUUUUAGUGGUUCUCUCGUUAAUUAAUGAGUUAAACUAAAUCUUUGACACAUAUUCAUUUUAUAUCUUGGGACAGACAUGAUUAUAUCCUCUUUUAAAAUUUAUUGUUAAAUACAGACAAAUCUUGUGUGAUCCCAUACUCCAGAAAUAUUAUUGAUGCAGAGAAAAAAAUUUAGGAUACACAGGAAACUGUUAGUGUUCACCUGUGGGGAAGAGGGAGGGAGGAGGUACUUCCUUUUCAUUUUAUAUCUUUUUGUACUAUUUUAAUUUUUAAACUAUGUUAAAAGAAUUUCAGUGGAGGUUGGCCAGGCAAAGGUUUAAGGGCCGUCUGUUUUCUUUUUUUAUACUUUUCUCUAUAAAAAAAAUAAUAACAUUAA